rnacentral:rRNA from 1 species
AAAGGGUCCGUAGGGCGGACCGAUAAGUCAGUGGUGAAAUCUCAUAGCUUAACUAUGAAACUGCCAUUGAUACUGUCGGUCUUGAGUAAAUUAGAGGUAGCUGGAAUAAGUAGUGUAGCGGUGAAAUGCAUAGAUAUUACUUAGAACACCAAUUGCGAAGGCAGGUUACCAUGAUUUAACUGACGCUGAGGGACGAAAGCGUGGGUAGCGAACAGGAUUAGAUACCCUGGUAGUCCACGCCGUAAACGAUGCUAACUCGUUUUUGGGGCGCAAGCCUCAGAGACCAAGCGAAAGUGAUAAGUUAGCCACCUGGGGAGUACGUUCGCAAGAAUGAAACUCAAAGGAAUUGACGGGGGCCCGCACAAGCGGUGGAUUAUGUGGUUUAAUUCGAUGAUACGCGAGGAACCUUACCAAGGCUUAAAUGGGAAAUGACAGGCUUAGAAAUAGGCUCUUCUUCGGACAUUUUUCAAGGUGCUGCAUGGUUGUCGUCAGCUCGUGCCGUGAGGUGUUAGGUUAAGUCCUGCAACGAGCGCAACCCCUGUCACUAGUUGCUAACAUUCAGUUGAGGACUCUAGUGAGACUGCCUACGCAAGUAGAGAGGAAGGUGGGGAUGACGUCAAAUCAUCACGGCCCUUACGCCUUGGGCCACACACGUAAUACAAUGGCCGGUACAGAGGGCAGCUACACAGCGAUGUGAUGCGAAUCUCGAAAGCCGGUCUCAGUUCGGAUUGGAGUCUGCAACUCGACUCUAUGAAG